CAAGUGCUGGGAUUAAAGGCGUGCGCCACCACCGCCCGGCCAGCCCUCAGGAAUCUUACAAGGUGGUUAACCCGCUUACCAGGAAAACCCUAACCUCCCUUAUCUGCCGGCAACGGUGAGCUACAUCAGAACUACUGACCAGCAUCUUAGUACGGAGGCCUCACGACUCUGCGCAACAUUCAUCCUUUCCUUCCUCCUUCAGGUUUGGCCUCUUCCAAAAUCUCCUUUUUUUUUUUAAAGAUUUAUUUAUUUUAUGUAUGUGAGUCUACUGUAGCUGUACAGAUGGUUGUGAGCCUUCAUGUGGUUGUUGGGAAUUGAAUUUUUAGGACCUCAGCUCACUCUGGUCAACCCCACUUGCUCUGGUAGGCCUGGCAUGCUCCACUCAAUUCUGCUCGCUCAGCCCCUGCUUGCACCAGAAGAGGGCAUCAGAUCUCAUGAUGGGUGGUUGUAAGCCAUCAUGUGGUUGCUGGGAUUUGAACUCUGG
rnacentral:lncRNA from 1 species